CUGCUGCCUUCCGUAGGAGUCUGGUCCGUGUCUCAGUACCAGUGUGGGGGGCCUUCCUCUCAGAACCCCUACGCAUCGUCGCCUCGGUGGGCCGUUACCCCGCCGACUAGCUAAUGCGCCGCAUGCCCAUCCGUGGCCGGGAUUGCUCCCUUUGGCGGCCUUGGGAUGUCCCUAGGCCGCGUUACGCGGUAUUAGACGGGGUUUCCCCCGCUUAUCCCCCUGCCACGGGCAGGUUGCAUACGUGUUACUCACCCGUGCGCCGGUCGCCGGCAACGG
rnacentral:rRNA from 1 species